GGGGGCGUGGCUCAGUUGGUAGAGCGCUUCCUUAGCAUGGAAGAGGUCCUGGGUUCGAUUCCCGGCGCCUCCAC
rnacentral:tRNA from 1 species